AACGAACGCUGGCGGCAGGCUUAACACAUGCAAGUCGAGCGCCCCGCAAGGGGAGCGGCAGACGGGUGAGUAACGCGUGGGAAUCUACCCAUCUCUACGGAAUAACGCAUGGAAACGUGUGCUAAUACCGUAUACGUCCUUCGGGAGAAAGAUUUAUCGGAGAUGGAUGAGCCCGCGUCAGAUUAGCUAGUUGGUGGGGUAAUGGCCUACCAAGGCGACGAUCUGUAGCUGUUCUGAGAGGAAGACCAGCCACACUGGAACUGAGACACGGUCCAUACUCCUACGGGAGGCAGCAGUGGGGAAUAUUGGACAAUGGGCGAAAGCCUGAUCCAGCCAUGCCGCGUGAGUGAUGAAGGCCUUAGGGUUGUAAAGCUCUUUUGGCGGGGAAGAUAAUGACGGUACCCGCAGAAUAAGUUCCGGCUAACUUCGUGCCAGCCGCCGCGGUAACAC
rnacentral:rRNA from 1 species